rnacentral:rRNA from 1 species
AGUCGAACGAAGCACUGUGGAUAGAGACUUCGGUCAAUUGAAGCUUUGACUUAGUGGCGGACGGGUGAGUAACGCGUGAGGAACCUGCCUUUCAGUGGGGGACAACAGUUGGAAACGACUGCUAAUACCGCAUAAUGUGUUUUGGGGGCAUCCCCGGAACACCAAAGAUUUAUUGCUGAAAGAUGGCCUCGCGUCUGAUUAGAUAGUUGGUGGGGUAACGGCCUACCAAGUCGACCAUCAGUAGCCGGACUGAGAGGUUGAACGGCCACAUUGGGACUGAGAUACGGCCCAGACUCCUACGGGAGGCAGCAGUGGGGAAUAUUGGGCAAUGGGGGAAACCCUGACCCAGCAACGCCGCGUGAAGGAAGAAGGCUUUCGGGUUG